UGGACUCCCAAUUAUUUUUGGACAAAAUCCAUUUCAUGUUCCCGAGUUGCCGGUUUCACGUCCCUCUGGAACAUUCAGUGGCAGCCUUAACGAGGCAAAAAUAAAGAAAAUAUAAAGGGAAAAAAGCGAAGCACUGUACACCACAGCCAGCACACUGAUAACCAGAAAAACCAAGAUACUUGGCCUUCAUCUGGGGUCCAGAGCCUGGGAGGAAAGUUGCCCAGGUAUAAGCCAAGUGCUUGAUGCCUCUAAGAGACCCCUUCUAUGGGUAACAAAUGUCUGUGCCAGGCAGAGUUGUUUAUACCAGAGUCUAGAAAAAUAAAAUGUAAAACACACACAUACACUCACAGAGAAAUGUCACUUUCACCAUCUUAAAAAUGAAAGGAAUAUUGUGUAAACCAAAAAUUGCUUUAUUAAAACCUUGGAACACAAAUGAAUCCAAGUAAACUAUAACAUUCAAGUUUAA